rnacentral:rRNA from 1 species
UACGGAGGGGGCUAGCGUUGUUCGGAAUUACUGGGCGUAAAGCGCACGUAGGCGGCUUUACAAGUCAGGGGUGAAAGCCCGCGGCUCAACCGCGGAAUUGCCCUUGAGACUGUAUCGCUUGAACACGGGAGAGGUGAGUGGAAUUCCGAGUAUAGAGGUGAAAUUCGUAGAUAUUCGGAAGAACACCAGUGGCGAAGGCGGCUCACUGGACCGUAGUUGACGCUGAGGUGCGAAAGCUAGGGGAGCGAAUGGG